rnacentral:tRNA from 1 species
UGGAAGAGUGGCAGAGUGGCCGAAUGCGUCUGUCUUGAAAACAGAAGUCCCUUCACGGGGACCGUGGGUUCGAAUCCUACCUCUUCCGA